AAUCCGGGCUAGAAGCGACGCAUGCGCCCGCCGCCCGAUUGCCGACCCUCAGUAGGAGCUUAGGCUCCCAAAGGCACGUGUCGUUGGCUAAGUCCGUUCGGCGGAAGCGUCGUUCGGACCGCCUUGAAUUAUAAUUACCACCGAGCGGCGGGUAGAAUCCUUUGCAGACGACUUAAAUACGCGACGGGGUAUUGUAAGUGGCAGAGUGGCCUUGCUGCCACGAUCCACUGAGAUUCAGCCCUUUGUCGCUAAGAUUCGACCCUCCCCUAAAUCACUCCAAAAAAAACAAUCCCCAAUUCUACGCAAGUGUUUCUACACUAACAAAGCAACAGCUCCUUAACGAAUUCCCAACUUUACACGAGCUCGUCUCUCGAGGUUAAAUGUUAUUACUUGGUAAGAUUCCGGACCUCGCCAAGUGUUUUGAAAACCCGCAACGCUCGCAAAGGUGGAUAGUGAGAAUAAUAAGUGAAGAGACAGACUUGUCCAAAACGCCCACCACGAAGGUGCAUAGUGAGAAGAGUAAGUCAAGAGAUAGACUUGUCCAAAAAGAAACGGAAGAGAAAGCUUGGGGAGACGCUCACGAAGGUGCAUAGUGAGAAGAGUAAGUCAAGAGAUAGACUUGUUCAAAAAGAAACAGAAGAGAAUGCUUGGGGUUACACUCACGAAGGUGCAUAGUGAGAAGAGUAAGUCAAGAGACAGACUUGUUCGAAAAGAAACAAAAGAGAAUGG
rnacentral:misc_RNA from 1 species